rnacentral:rRNA from 1 species
AACGAACGCUGGCGGCGGGCCUCAUACAUGCAAGUCGAGCGCGAAAGUCCGCAAGGAUGAGUAAAGCGGCGCACGGGUGAGUAACACGUGGGUAAUCUACCUUUUGGAUUGGAAUAACCUGUCGAAAGACGGGCUAAUGCCGAGUAAGCUCUCUUGAACGUAGAGUUCGAGCGAGGAAAGAUGGCGCAAGCUAUCGCCGAAAGAUGAGCCUGCGUCCCAUUAGUUAGNGGUGGGGUAAUGGCUUACCAAGACAAUGAUGGGUACCUGGUUUGAGAGAAUGACCAGGCACACUGGAACUGAAACACGGUCCAGACUCCUACGGGAGGCAGCAGUAGGGAAUAUUGCGCAAUGGACGAAAGUCUGACGCAGCCACGCCGCGUGAGUGAGGAAGGCC